UCUGGGCUCUCUGCCAGAGGGCACGGUAACGGUGCAGUCAACAGUCCACAUCUGUUUCAUCAAUCAGUGUCUGCACAGGAACAGAUGGUACCACCGUCCAGGAAGAUUUAUUUAUAAAGUGAUAAGGAAACAUCUGGAGACAGAAUGAAGCCAUCUCCACUGGGACCCAGGGACAAUCCCAUAGAUGUGACAGUUACGGUCACAGAGACGAAGUUGCAGUAUAACCUGAAUCCUUCAUCCUGACAGAAAUGCCUGCUGAAAAGCUGUAAAUAAACACUGAAAAUCCUGAUCUGAACUGUCCGAGGAAGAGAAGAAGGAAAGGCACUUGGCAUUUGUGCCUGGCGAACAUGAAAUUUCAUAUCACACUGUUCUCCACAUCUAUUUCCCAGAUCCGGGAUAUUGAUUUGGUAGAUGAAGACUGACCCCAGAGUUGCCCAAAGGUCUCUCAGUGCUUCUGAGCCUCAGGCUUCACUGUGUCCCUGAGCUAUUUGCCGGGCCUCUCUCAGACUUUGCUCUGUGAAGGGUGAGACCUCACUGCAAGGCAGGUGACCUGGCUUCCAGGUGUGCAGGCUGAGAGAGAAGGUAAACAUUUUCACUGCAGAGGAAACACUAUCUUCCAAGACUUUCAUUCGUUCAACAAUUAUUUAUUAAGCGGCUAUUCUGUGAUAAGCAUUCUUCUGGGUACAGGAGAUGUGGCAGUGAACAAAACAGACAAAAAUGAAAUAAAA